rnacentral:misc_RNA from 1 species
GCUUCAUUUACCUUGAAUUUAACAGCGACAAGCUUGUUUUCUUGCUUUUGGUUCUUUGGGGUGUCGACAAAGACGCCCUUCAACUCUGCUUCCCCCGUUUUUCCUGCUUCAUGCUCUGCCACUGACUUUGAUUUCUUGAACAUAAGGACUCGAAAUCUUGGAGCUGAUUUGAGGGGGGAGAUGGGAGACUGAGGUUUUGAGAUGGGCUCAAUAGGAAGGAUCUUUCUUUUAGAGAGGAGAUCAGU